rnacentral:rRNA from 1 species
UGGGGAAUAUUGGACAAUGGGGGCAACCCUGAUCCAGCAAUGCCGCGUGAGUGAUGAAGGCCUUAGGGUUGUAAAGCUCUUUUACCGGGGACGAUGAUGACGGUACCCGGAGAAUAAGCCCCGGCUAACUUCGUGCCAGCAGCCGCGGUAAUACGAAGGGGGCGAGCGUUGUUCGGAAUUACUGGGCGUAAAGGGCGCGUAGGCGGCGACCCAAGUCAGAUGUGAAAGUCCUGGGCUUAACCUGGGGACUGCAUUUGAUACUGGGUUGCUUGAAUUCGGGAGAGGAUAGCGGAAUUCCCAGUGUAGAGGUGAAAUUCGUAGAUAUUGGGAAGAACACCGGUGGCGAAGGCGGCUAUCUGGACCGACAUUGACGCUGAGGCGCGAAAGCGUGGGGAGCAAACAG